GCUUACUUAAAAUGUAAAAUGGCAGUAUGCAAGGUUGCCAUCCUUGCGACCCGGGUUCGAAUCCCGGCGGGCGCA
rnacentral:tRNA from 1 species